CGGUUCUCGUUAGAUCACCGAAGUUAAGCAUCAUUGGGCGCGGUCAGUACUUAUGUGGGUGAAAACCUGGGAACACUGCGUGCCGUU